AACGCUGGCGCAGGCCUAACACAUGCAAGUCGACGGACCCUUCGGGGUUAGUGCGGACGGGUGAGUAACACGUGGGAACGUGCCUUUAGGUUCGGAAUAGCUCCUGGAAACGGGUGGUAAUGCCGAAUGUGCCCUUCGGGGGAAAGAUUUAUCGCCUUUAGAGCGGCCCGCGUCUGAUUAGCUAGUUGGUGAGGUAACGGCUCACCAAGGCGACGAUCAGUAGCUGGUCUGAGAGGAUGACCAGCCACGACUGGGACUGAGACUACGGCCCAGACUCCUACGGGAGGCAGCAGUGGGGAAUCUUGCGCAAUGGGCGAAAGCCUGACGCAGCCAUGCCGCGUGAAUGAUGAAGGUCUUAGGAUUGUAAAAUUCUUUCACCGGGGACGAUAAUGACGGUACCCGGAGAAGAAGCCGGCUACUCC
rnacentral:rRNA from 1 species